rnacentral:lncRNA from 1 species
AAGGAUUAGAAAAACUUGCUCGAAGAAAAUUUAAGCGAUUGCACAAUUCUAAAAGUAGAGUUAAAGAACUUGCAUUAUUAUAUUGGAAACAAUAAUUGAUUCAAUCAAGAUAAUGGAUUAGAAAACUUGCAUUACUAUAUUGAGAACAAUACUUGAUUCUAAUUACAAAAGUAGAGUUAGAGAACUUGCCUUGCUCGUAGGCUAAACCAAAUCAAUACGUAUCACAAUAUCCUAUAAACAUAUGUCACCAUAACAUAAUUAGUCAUUACCAUCUUACAAACAUAACAAAGUACGUUCA